rnacentral:rRNA from 1 species
UACGAAGGGUGCAAGCGUUGUCCGGAAUUAUUGGGCGUAAAGAGCUCGUAGGCGGUCUGUCGCGUCUGCUGUGAAAACUCAGGGCUUAACCCUGAGCUUGCAGUGGGUACGGGCAGACUAGAGUGCGGUAGGGGAGACUGGAAUUCCUGGUGUAGCGGUGAAAUGCGCAGAUAUCAGGAGGAACACCGGUGGCGAAGGCGGGUCUCUGGGCCGUAACUGACGCUGAGGAGCGAAAGCAUGGGGAGCGAACAGG